CUUUAAUACAUAUAUAAAUAGUACUUAUUGUGAAUAAGCUUUCUUUAUUAAUAAUAUACAAGACAGUCCCUUUUGGACCAGGUAGUUCAAAUAAGGGUGGCUUCUGUGUGCUCUCCUUGAUGCCUGCGGAACCUCACUGACAGUAAGAGGGUUCAGGCUAGAGUCAGUGUCGCCCAUCAUGAAGGGACCUGGUUAUAGUUCAAUUUUCCUACAUUGUUUCUGAAUGAAGAUAUUUUAACAGUGGGCCAAAUUCCCCUGUCAUUCCCAUCUGCAGUAUCUCUGCUGCCUGCAGCUGAACUAUUUCAGAUCUACUCAAGCAGAUCUGAGAUGUGACUCUAGUCCAAUAAAUACAGCUCUGUUUAUGUGUGUAGUACUAUGACAAGUACUCAUUUAAACAAGUGUGUUACAUCCCCGCAAAGCUAUUACACUUCGAAAAGCGAUGCUUUCCGCGUCGCAUUCCUUUAGCCAUCCAGCAGUACGCUGCUCGCUCUGCAAGGAGAGAAGAUGCGCAGCUCUGGGGCCCGCACACCGUUGCGCGGUGGGAAGGAGCCACCUGCUGGCGGGUCAGCGCCGUGCGCUGCGGCAGCCACCGCGGGGCGGGCGGGAGGACAUCACCCUCCGGUGGAUAGCAGAGGCGACGGAGGAAGGCACCAGGUGAAUAGUGUUCUGCUGUGAUGCUCAGGAUUUUUCAGUGACAUGAACAGACUGCGGAGGCUGCUCCUGUGGGAGGUGAAAGGUAACUUUGCCUGAAGUUCAACUUUGUCUGUGUCCCUGUCAGCAGUGACUGCCAAAUCACCUACAUUCCACGUGCUGAUUUUUCUCAUAUUUGUGAAAAGAAAGAAUGACAAAACCAAGUAAAUGUCAGGUAUCAGUCUCAGAAUGUGGAAAGUCUUUUAAAAAUGUGAAGUUUCUUUCAGGUGCCAGAGGAAGCCUUUCAUUUCUUCUUUACUGAGCUUGAAGUGCCAGCAUAGUGCUGCAGUAGCUGAUGGGACUAUUUAUCUCCCGAAUUGCUUUAGGAGAACUCCUUCAAUUUCUUUAUAUUCUCCCUGAGAAUCAUAGUUGUUUUGUGUUUCUUUUUCUCUAAAUACUUUUUAUUUAAGCAUCUUUGUCAAGAAUUUUCCAUUCUUUAUCUAUCCUAAAUGUUCAUAAACUUUUUCUACAUUUCCUUGGUUCCUUACAUUAUUUUUCUUCUAAGAUUUGUUGCAAGUUUUUAUGCAUGAAGAUGAUGUCGGGUAAACAUGCAACAUUGUGUUAAUUACUAAAAUUGGCUUUAAGUACUUAGAUGGCCUUCUUUUACCAGAGUAGCCAGGUAUUUCUGCAGUGUGAUGAGAGGAGAAGGCAGCAGGACAGCUUAGGAUUGUUCUGCAGAUGCCUGGCAAUAAUGUUGGACACAUGCAGUAUUAUGACUAAAUCUGGCAUUUCUGGGAAGUAUGGUGUGUUCUUGUGCCAGCACAGCGCAGCUGAUCUGCAUAUGCACUGCAAAAAUAUGCAGAAUUAGCAGAUGAACUGUGCAGUUCAUCCUUCACCAGCCUGAAAGUUACUGAUAAAAUCUAAAAUUCUUACAUUUCAUCCAGAUAGAGCUGCUUUCUGAGGACAGAGACUGUAUCUGAGAGGAGCACACAGCAUCUGGUAGGCAGGGCUGAGAAGUCAGCUACCUCCAUUUUAGAGAUGGAGUGCUGAGGCACAGGUGACCUGAAAAACACACUCAAACCAUUGAAAAAAAAAAUUGUGUAGGACUGGAACAGGUCCAUUGAGAACAAGAUCGAUUAUGGAAUAAUCUUUCAUUCUCUCAGCAUUAAUUUUCAGACUUGCUGAAGGAAGGAGAUUCCAUUAGCAGACCCUUGUUUUGUGAGCAAGAAGAAAGUAAUGAAGUAUAAAGGCUGGUGAGGUGAGCAGUGUCUGGAUAACACAUUUUGAUGUGUUCUGCCGUGGAAUGACUUAAUCAAGUUAUUUCUCCGGUUACAUUCUAUGUCAACUGAAGUUAUGCCUCAUGUCUUGUUAAAAUCUGUGGAAGUAAGCUACCUGGAGAAUCUGAGUAGCAUUUGAGAAGACAUGAUAAUGCAGAAGAUCAAGGGGACUCAUUGCUAAGAACUGUCAGGGAUGUUAACAGAAUUACUAGUGAAGAAGAAAAAAUGAAUCAAUGAUGAAUAAUCAUGUAGUGUAUCAGGUAAGUCAACACAUUGUCUCUGCAGUAGUUAACUGUUCCAAUGAUAUGGGUUGGCAAUGUAAUGAGAAAACAGCAGUGAACAUGCACUAAUUACAUUUGCUUUCAAAUUCAACAGAAGCUGAACAGCUGUUUGGUGCAGUAGGUAAAUUAAGUGCACUAGUCAGUCAGAUCCAAUUUUGAAGUGAAUCCUUGAUGUCAGUCCGUGAUUAAUGUGUAGGCUGAAUGUUUAUAGGUGUGAUUCAGCUAAAAUAUUGUCACUCAGAGUCUUAUUACCUCUUGCUGCCUUGAUCACACCUUCCCUCUCUAAAAAUGCGUGUGUGUGUGUGUGUGUGAAGGAAGUAGCAGCUGAGCAAAGCAGCUUCUGUUCUCCUUGCAGAAUUUUCUUGUCAGAUGUUCAGCUGUGGGGAGUGGAAGGAUAAAACAAGUUUGGUUCUCUCCUUCUGAGAAAACAGCUGCUAGGACAGUUUGUAAAGCUUACAGCCUGCUCCUGACAUCUACUGGAUUGAAGGUAAACUAGGGCACUCAUCAGAGGAAAAAGCUGUCCCAGCUCAUCAGAUCGUGUUAAGAAGAAUUUCAUGCCAGAAAGGAAAAUUCAUAGCUAAACUGUAUUAUAAUCACACAUGAAUUCUGUGACUGUGUGGCUCCAUACUCUAUUGCAUCUUCCUAGCUUUACUAUGUCACAGCCACUACGUAUAAUAAGUAUUGGGACCUUGGGCUGGCAUGAUAAAUUAUAAUUACACAAACUUUUCUUUCUGUGUUCCUGCAGUAUCUGACAUACAUUCUGUAAUUCUGGUAUUGCACUCUCCAAAAAAAAAAGUCCUGAUCUCAAGUUAUGGUGUGGAAGGGGUUGGCACUGUUCUGUAUAGCUGAAGAAAUACCACAACUGCUUCUUCUCCAUGAAAAGUUUGACAAAACAGUCAGAAAUCAAGAGAAAACAUGUUUACUCUCAGCUAAGUGUCCUAUUAGAGAGAAACAACCAGGAUUUACUUAUUUAAGGUCUUUACUUACUUAAAUUCAGCUUCUCAUAAUGCAUGAGGACCGUUUUACUUCAAUCUUUUUGAAGCCCAAAGUAAACUUGUAGAAAAAUUGCUAAGUUUAUUGAAUAGGAUAACCUAUUAUAAUUGUAUUAGCAAAGCAAUUUUCCUGGUGAGUGACAGGUGACAAGUCAUUGUUUCUUGUAAUAUGAAGUUUACAUCUUUAUCUUUCCACACCUCAAGUAGCAAGAGCAUUUUGUUUAUCAGUUUACUUCUAACAUUGCAGUUUUGUUUGACACAGUGAUAGACUCCAUUUGAUGACUUAAAAUAUUAUAUUAAAAAGGAAAUAAAAAUUUGGCUGUUUGGUCA
ensembl:lncRNA